rnacentral:rRNA from 1 species
GAUGAACGCUGGCGGCGUGCCUAAUACAUGCGAGUCGAGCGAACGGACGAGAAGCUUGCUUCUCUGAUGUUAGCGGCGGACGGGUGAGUAACACGUGGAUAACCUACCUAUAAGACUGGGAUAACUUCGGGAAACCGGAGCUAAUACCGGAUAAUAUUUUGAACCGCAUGGUUCAAAAGUGAAAGACGGUCUUGCUGUCACUUAUAGAUGGAUCCGCGCUGCAUUAGCUAGUUGGUAAGGUAACGGCUUACCAAGGCAACGAUGCAUAGCCGACCUGAGAGGGUGAUCGGCCACACUGGAACUGAGACACGGUCCAGACUCCUACGGGAGGCAGCAGUAAGGAAUCUUCCGCAAUGGGCGAAAGCCUGACGGAGCAACGCCGCGUGAGUGAUGAAGGUCUUCGGAUCGUAAAACUCUGUUAUUAGGGAAGAACAUAUGUGUAAGUAACUGUGCACAUCUUGACGGUACCUAAUCAGAAAGCCACGGCUAACUACGUG